GCUGGGUGCAGUGGUGUGUGCCUGUAGUCUCAGCUACUCGGGAGGCUGAGGUGGGAGGAUUGCUUGAGACCGGGAGCUCUGGGCUGUAGUGCACUAUGCCGAUCAGGUGUCUGCACUAAGUUUGGCAUCAAUAUGGUGACCUUCCGGAAGUGGGGGACCACUGGGUUGCCUAAGGAGGGGUGAACCGGCCCAGGUUGGAAACAGAGCAGGUCAAAACUCCUGUGCUGAUCAGUAGUGGGAUCACACCUGUGAAUAGCCACUGCACUACAGCCUGAGCAACAUAGCAAGACCCUGUCUCU
rnacentral:SRP_RNA from 1 species